GUUAAGCCGCGGCGCAGCCCGCCGGGACUGCUAGCCCUGCAGUCGGGCUGCACAGCCGCUCCUCUCAACCACAUCACCUCCCGGUGCUGCAGCGGCUCUCACUCUUUCUCUGCCUCUCGGCUCCUCCGUGCUGCCAAGUUUCUCCCCUCACUCUUGUCUGAUUCCAUCCGUCCUUGCGUCACAGGGCGCCGUUCUGGGCAGCCUGCUCCCGGUCCUCGCUUGGUCUCGGGCGAAGCGUAGGGAGUCUCGGCAUGGCCCUUGGCACCCCCUUCUGCGAGAGUUUAGUGUGACCUUGGUGAGCAAAAAUUGACUUCUCGUGCUGGGGACGCUGCAAAAAAUGGCCACAAAUUCUUCCCCGUCCCCGCGUACCCACUCUUGCUACCUUUGCGGGUCAUGGGACUUGAUUGAGCGUCGUGGGACUUGAUUGAGCGCCAUGGGACGGUAGCCAUUGUGAGGAAGACAUUUGAACUCCUGCGCUGUUGAUGCUCCUGUCGCUGUUACUAUAGGAGACUCCUAGGCGCUGUCGUUCCUUAUGGUGAGUCUUGUGUUUCUCCAUGGAGAAGCUUUCAUUAUUUCCAGACUUGCUGAACCCAUUAUGAGACCAUUGAGACAGGAUAAGAAAUAAAAAUGUCUACUUUGUUCACUGGGCUGUUAUUCCUGGAUCUUUACAAUUGAGGUGGAGAAAGAAAACACCUCCAGAAAAAUAAUUUAAGAGGCAUGGCUGGUCGGUUGUGUCACGUUUGAUCCCAGGAGCCCUGUAGUUCAGGCGCAAAUAUGAAAAGGGCUAUGGAAGUAAAUUUCAGUGACGUUUUUUAUUUAAAAAUCUCCUGCUGACAAAAGCACCUUUCCCAUCAAGGGGUCAUCUCGGUGCCCAAUUUAAAGGCUGGCCUGUCCAGUAAAGUGCCUUCGUGCCAAGAAUUCUGGAUUUUCCCUUACGGGUUCUUUCUCCGAGUGGGCGUGCUGGGUUUGAAUUAGUGUGUUGACCUUUUUGAGCCUUUGUGUUCGUCAUUCAUAAAAAAAAAAUUGGCUGUACUUUUUGGCUAUAUUGACAUGGAGGCACUGAGUCAAAUAUCCUAACCCCCCAAUACUUACCUCCUACCAGCAGCAGCAUUUUCCCGGGCAAGACACCGUUUCUGCAAGUAGAUUUGUAAGUCAGGUUGAUCCAAAGGGUUUAACAGUUCCUUCUGAAGAGCCAGGCUCUUGCCCAUUGUUGCUAAUUGGCUAGAUGUUGGGUUUUUUUGUUUGUUUAUUUGUUAUAGCCCGUUGAAUGCAAUAUCAUAUAUUAUUAUCUCGGUGAGCUCCCUAUGGGGAUGUGAACUUGUUCUACACCCACAUAAAAUACUUUAUUCCCCGGUUUUCUUAUUAGAUUUACUAACAUGUCACUGCUGUACCAUUACCAUUUAACAGCCUGGGAGGCAGAAAGAACACACUAUUAUACAAGUCUUGGCAAAGCCAACACCGAUGUAGGGAAAUCAUUAAGCUUCAGGAAGUUUUAACUUUCUUGCACCCAAUUUCUUAUCAUUAAUGCAAGAUUUGUAUUCUUCCUUGACCCCCUAAUCUUGUAAAGGAAAUAGGGGGAGAAAAGGGGAAGGGGAAGGGGAGGGGAGGAGGAGACGCAGAUCGGGCUGAGCCAUAGCCAUUUCCAGCGCAUGCACUUACAUCAGUGAUUAAUCAAACUAAUGGGGAGUUCUAAUUCGGUGCUCUGCUACCCUUAAGCCCCGUAAUUGCGGUGUCUCUGAACCCAAAGGAAACACGUUGUGCUCUGCGUGCCCAGGCGCAUAGCUUUUAAAUCUUCAUAACUCUGUAAUUACUCCAGCGCUUUCCUUCAAAUCUGGCUUAAUUUCACUUCCUUAAUGAGCACUCCCAUCUUGAUAAAGUUGGAAGCCUGCUGCCUCUGCUGUUCACAAGGACUCAAUCCCAGGCUGAUAAUGUGAGUUGUGGAUUUCACUCCCUCAAGUUCCUCUCAAAAAGGAGCUGAUUUAUUUCAGGACCACCGCAGUCACAAGCACUUCCUCUGGGUCAAGGCCAGCGCGGGGUGUUUCCAUCACAGAAGGGUGCUUGGAGAGCAAGUUCUAAACAGUUUAAAAAAAAAAAAAAAAAAAAAAAACAACAGAGCAGGGGGUGCAGGGAGGCGGGAAGCUUAUGAACCCUUGGGGAAUGGCUGUUUUGCUUUAUUAGCGCCAUGUGCUCCAGAGACUGUGGUUCAUUUUACCCAAUCGAAGACUUUGCUGUAUAGCAAAUAUAUUAAAAAUCCACUUCCUCUUCAUAAACGGAGCCCUGCCAAAGAGUGAACAUUUCAAGUCAGUUAAAAAAAAAAAAGAAAAAAA
rnacentral:lncRNA from 1 species